UACGAAGGGGGCAAGCGUUGUUCGGAAUUACUGGGCGUAAAGGGCUCGUAGGCGGCCAACUAAGUCAAACGUGAAAUCCCUCGGCUUAACCGGGGAACUGCGCUCGAUACUGGAAGGCUUGAAUCCGGGAGAGGGAUGCGGAAUUCCAGGUGUAGCGGUGAAAUGCGUAGAUAUCUGGAGGAACACCGGUGGCGAAGGCGGCAUCCUGGACCGGUAUUGACGCUGAGGCGCGAAAGCCAGGGGAGCAAACGGG
rnacentral:rRNA from 1 species